rnacentral:rRNA from 1 species
CAGUAGCCGCGGUAAUACGGAGGGGGCUAGCGUUGUUCGGAAUUACUGGGCGUAAAGCGCACGUAGGCGGCUUGGUAAGUUAGAGGUGAAAGCCUGGGGCUCAACUCCAGAAUUGCCUUUAAGACUGCCGAGCUAGCAGGUGAGAGAGGUAGGUGGAAUCCCGAGUGUAGAGGUGAAAUUCGUAGAUAUUCGGAAGAACACCAGUGGCGAAGGCGGCUUACUGGCUCAUACUGGACGCUGAGGUGCGAAAGCGUGGGGAGCAAACAGGAUUAGAUACCCCAGUAGUCCCUGUCUCUUAUAA